CGGGUGAGUAACACGUGGAUAACCUACCUAUAAGACUGGGAUAACUUCGGGAAACCGGAGCUAAUACCUGAUAAUAUAUUGAACCGCAUGGUUCAAUAGUGAAAGACGGUUUUGCUGUCACUUAUAGAUGGAUCCGCGCCGCAUUAGCUAGUUGGUAAGGUAACGGCUUACCAAGGCAACGAUGCGUAGCCGACCUGAGAGGGUGAUCGGCCACACUGGAACUGAGACACGGUCCAGACUCCUACGGGAGGCAGCAGCC
rnacentral:rRNA from 1 species